UUUGAUUUAAUAUUUUGUCUGUGUAGUAUACUUUAAAUAGACAUAAAGAUAGUUUAUCUUCUUGUUUUAGUAUUUUCUGUCUGGUUUAGCUGGGCUUUGCCUAUUGAGCUUAGGAUUUGUAGGUUUUACCUUCCCCUUUUGUUAAAACUUAAAAUUCUGUUUUUUCUAGUGGAAUAUGUUCUUGACAAAAGAAAGACUCUGGUUUCUAGCUAUUUGAGCGGAAAUGUUUUUCACAUUCAACCGUAUAUUUGUUAAAAAUGGUUGGUACUGAAAUUGGAGAGAAAUAUAUGAAAGAAAGUGACUGAAAUUGGAACAAGUGUGUACCUCAUAGCAGUUUUAUACUACGUACUGUCUUUUUUUUAAGAAAAAGUUUAUGGAAAUCCUGGGCUACGAUUCAAAUUAGCUUAAGGUUACUAAGUUUGGAUGCAUAGUUACUGUUGAAUGAGUUUAUGUUAGAAUU
rnacentral:lncRNA from 1 species